rnacentral:misc_RNA from 1 species
ACAGGAGAGAAACCAAACUCUAGUGGGAGAUUUGGGGACAAGAGUAAUAUCAUUCAAUAUUUUCUGUCAUCUCUAGAAAAUCAUAGUCUGCAUCGGAUACUUUGUUUCAAUGUAGCAACUGAAAGUGAAAUGGAAGAAAUUGGAGUUUGUGCAGAUCUUGCAAAACAAUGCCUGCGCAGUAGUGGCAUGAAAAGGCCAACCAUGAAAGAAGUUG